CCCGCAAGCAGCUCUGGGCCACUGCCAACGAGAGAACCACGCUACCACAUACACGCCGUUCCUCGCCGCCCCAACCGCGUGGGGCUCCACAACCACCAUCACACACAUUUGUCACGUAGUUUAAAAAUCCACGGAAGGAAGAAAUUGCUCUCGGAGACUUACCCUUGACUUUCCUUCAGCGUCCAUUAAGAGCUCCACGUAUGUUACCUCACCAACUACAAAUGAGAUUCCGGGCGGUACAUAGACCAGGGGAAAAAGCCAAGAAAACAAGGGGGAUUUAGAACAGUCGUCAGCAACCUUGUUUGGAGCCUCUGCCUUGUUAGAAAGCCCAGGGAAAACGCCUCCGCUGGCUAUGCCGCCGCGACUCGGCGUUACCGGCGUGCAGCAUAUUGGCGCCACCCGAGCCCUUGGCCCUUCCCUUCCCGUUUGAUACGCCAAUCCGUGCCACCCAAGGGGGAGCAGCCACGGGAAAAAGUUUGGUUUUGAGCCUGAUCAACAGGAGGACUGUUUCAAGAUGGACAGUAUUUAGUAUUUAUUUGUUAUGUAUACAUAGGGGUGUGGGUCUGUAGCAGGGGUAGGCAACCGUGGCUCUUUUAUGACUGGUGGACUUCAACUCCCAGAAUUCCUGAGCCAGCCAUGCUGAGUGGAAAGGGAGAGGUUUCCAAGCUGAGCCAUGCUGGCUCAGGAAUUCUGGGAGUUGAAGUCCACGAGUCAUGAAAGAGCCAAGGUUGCCUACCCCUGGUCUAAUCUAACUAAACAUUGUUAUGCAUGUAUACCAUCUGAAUGGGGUGAGGAACUUUGGCCCUUUUAUGACUGGUGGCCUACCCCUGGACUCUAUACAUACGUUGUACAUAGUACGUUUAGGUGUGUGUCAUGUAUGUGUUUCUUUGAGAGCAGGCAACUAUAGUUCAUUUUCGAUGUGUGCCGUUGUGCCCACAGUAAAAAAAACGACAAUAAACGUUAUCUUAUCUUAUCUUAUCUUAUUCUCCUUUCUAAUCUACAGGGCUUCACAAUUCCAGGGGGACUUAACGAGAGUUUGUUUCGUGACCGUUCCAAGUUACAACGGCACAGGCGAAAAAAGCGACGUAGGGCCGUUUUUUUCCACUUAACGACCGUCGCUGAUCAAAAUUCGGAUGCUCGGCAACGGACUCGUAUUUCGGCCGCCGUGUCCCAGGGGGUCACGCGAUCCCAUUUUGCAACGGCAACCGGGGGGGAGGGAAGCUAGAUUCGCUUAACGGCCCCGUCACAGAGCAGAAACAGCUUCUGGGAGGAGAAGGGAAACGUCUUUGAAGGAAAAACAAAGAAGUCCAGUUGCCUCUUGGUUUUUUGUUUUUUUUUUUUUUAAAAAAAAGGCACCUUUGGGAGCCAACCCCGUCACUAACUUAACAGGCGCGGCGGUUCACUGAAUAAUUUUGGCAGGAUCGUAAAAUGGGGCAAACCGUCCUUCGGCGCCUCGCUUAGCAACAGAAACGCCGGCCUCAAUUGUGACCAUACCCCGAGGACUGCCUGUAUUUAUUUGCAAAUAGAUUUACAGGUAGCUCUUGCGCAAUGUCGGUCACUGGCACUGUACGCUCCUAAAGCAACGUGUCGUGCAGCCCAGCAUCCUAUAACCGUGCCAACAGCCACAGAAGUUCCACUGGUUACCAGUGUUUCCCAAACUUGACAAUUUUAAGGCAUGAGGACUUCAACUGCCAGAAUUCCACAGCCAUUCUGGGAGUUGAAGUCCACAUGCCUUAAAAUUGUCAAGUUUGGGAAACACUGGGUUAAGCCAAUUUCAGCCGGUCACUAGAGACAUGAUUACUAAGCCAGCUUCCUAACUUUUGAACAGGAGGGGGAAAAGAGAAAAAGAGCCAACACACAAGAGACAGUGGGGCAAAGGAAUGAAUUUCUGUCUGGAAUUCUGCUCCAGCUCUUACUCCAAGGUCUUUCUUUUCCAUUUGCAUCUCAGCAAAUAUUUCUCCUUCACCUUCUGACAAGGAGGAGUUUAAAGUGGGAGAAGGGAGAAAAUAGAACAUAAUAGACACCCACCCAGAAGAUUGUGGGGGGGUGCUGACUAGACAGCUCUGCAAUACUGGCUACCACUCCGAUUGGAUUAGAGUUGGUUAGAAAGAUGGGCGGUGACAUAAAUAAACUAUCGUUUGCUGAAGCACCCAUCCAGAGUAAUAACUACUCCCUAACCCAAAGUAGGCAACCUCGGCUCUUUUAUGACUCGUGGACUUCAACUCCCAGAAUUCCUGAGCCAGCAUAGCUGGCUCAGGAAUUCUGGGAGUUGGAGUCCACGAGUCAGACAAGAGCCAAGGUUGCCUACCCCUGACCCAGGGGAUGAGAAAGAGUUUUGCAAAAGGCCAGCGAAAUCGCUGCCAGUGUUUAAAGGUGUGUGUGUGUGUGUGUGUGUGUGUGUGUGUGUGUGUGUGUGUGUGUGAGAGAGAGAGAGAGAGAGAGAGAGAGAGAGACAGAGAGAGAGAGAGACAGAGAGAGAGCACAUAGCUGGUUCAGGAAUUCUGGGAGUUGAAGUCCACGAGUCAUAAAAGAGCCGAGGUUGCCUACCCCUGCCCUAACAUAAGAAAAGCCGAAUUUUCAAUUUUGUAAGAAAUAAUCUGAACUGUGUGGGCUGCUCAAAAUGCACCUUCCAGAGUGCUCUCUGGUAAAGGUGUGUUUGUGUUUUUGCGUGAACAAUCAGCGCCAACCGUCUCAAGGGAGUUCAGCAAUGGAUAUCAUCUUAAUUGGCGGGCUGGGAAAACGUCAAGGCACUCUGGUGUAAAGCUCCAAAGGGGAGAGGCGAAGAUGCUGCACGCCUGUAACUUUGAAAUGUCACCAACAAAUGAUCAGACUAAAAUGGCCUCGCCGAGGGGGGGGGGAGGCCACGAUUAAAACAUUUCAAGGCAGGCAUCCACACACACCCGUGAGAGAUCUGAACAGACCACGACACUGAAGAUUCUCCUCAGCCAUAUACUUACAGGCACCUCUGCAACAGGACUAUUACUGCGGGCUUUAAACCUCCCCACAAUUCUUGAGUGAUGGAAGAGCAGUCGGGUGACCUUCAGCAUUGAUCUGCUGCUCCAUACCUGAAUCCAGGGCCCUGUGGUGCUUGUAGACAAAACCCAGAUUUCUACCCAUGUUUAGAGCCACAAUAUUGGGGGGGGGGGAGAGAAUCUUGGCACUACUAGUUUUGGAACUGCCCUCAAAUGACAUUUAAGAGUUCAGAGGGGUUCCAAAAGAAGACUGGAAAAGCAGCUCAUGGAGAGAUGCCGCUUGCGCCAACCUCAGCCGCAGUCACUAACUCCGAGAACCUCAGAACCUCUAAGCUCUCUUCGGCAGAGAGAAUGAAGCCCUUUCUCCAUUUUACUCCUGGGAGUAUCCGCAGGGGGGAGAAAA